rnacentral:snRNA from 1 species
GGAUGCGAGGGUAAUCUGGCUGCAACAUCUGUCACCCCACUGACUGCCAGGGUUGGGUCUGCUAUCUGGCUGCCUAGGAGGCCUCACAGAACUAUGUGUGCCCUCCUGAAGCAGAGUGCUCAGUCGAAGAGGACAACCACCCAAACAUAGAGGGACCAUUUCCUUGGUCAAGAGUAUAGGUGUAGUCGCACUCCCCUGUGAGAACCUCCAAACAACCUCUCAAGAAAAUGCGGCUAAAUAGUAAAUGAAAUACUUUAACUAUACAGACCCCAAACUGUCACCUGAUUACUAAAUCACGUAUUAGUCUAACGUAUGUU